GUAUACAUCGCAUUAAAUUUCCCUAACCUCUUUCGCGACGCUCUCGCUCCUGUAUAUCGCGAUUUUCCGGGAUUCCGAGGGAGGUUCCAAACGUUCGUCAAGGAGAUGGAAGAAGAAUCCGAGGGAAGGGGUUAAAAGGAGAGAGAGAUCGCUUACAGAACGAUGAUUUUUAGCAGAAUAAAAUGCGGGCAGGGACAGAUCGCAAUCGGCUCAUGUUAGUAGGAGCAGGGAAAUGCAAUGGCCGUUUCAAGGUCAGCUGCAACACAUUCUCUUCUCUUUUGCUCCUAUUUUGGUUGUUGGCAUGUGGAAACAUUAGGAGAGUUGGGAAUUUCUUUCUUGCAAGCCAAACAUCUAACUUUUCAGUUGCGAGGGAUCAUGGGACACUUGCUACAUUCGGACUAUCUUCCACCCUACGCAGACUAUAUUCACAAUAUAAGCUUCCCAGUAGAGGGACAGUAUACAAAGCCAAGGAAAAUCUUUGUAGGAGUCGCUAUUCUACGAAUUUUUCUGUCCUUUCAGCAAGUAAUUCCAUGACACGUCAUGCCCAAGUUGCUUGGAGAAGGCUUUCUCAGAUAUGUUCAUACAGUGGUCCAGCUUUUCCACCGAUAAGUCGGAUUGCAUGUGCGGUCAGCUUGGCCUUCACCAGAUCACACCUGGUUCCCAGUGUUUUUGCCUUCAUUCUAGGAGAGGUAGCAUGGACUCAGAGGACCUGGGCAGAUGCAGAACCCUUCCCAUCCCAGAAUACACUAUACACUCGAGCACAAGACGGGCACAUUUAUUUCACUUCGUUAUUUUUUUCAUUUCUGGAGGGCUUUAUUUUGUUUGUAAGAGCAAUCUAUUUGAUGAUUUUAUUUUCUCCUACCUUAGCAAUGGCUCCGUUCGCAGAUUCUUUUGGUGUUCAGUUCAGGAAAAUGUGGCUUCAUCUGGUCCAUCUUACUCUGGAAAGAGCUGGUCCAGCAUUCAUAAAAUGGGGCCAAUGGGCAGCUACUCGACCAGAUCUCUUUCCUAGAGAUCUAUGCACUGAGCUGUCCAACCUUCACAGCAAAGCACCAGCACACAGCUUUGCAUACACUAGAAAGACAAUUGAGAAAGCAUUUGGUCGCAAGCUUUCCGAAAUUUUUGAAGAUUUUGAGGAGGCACCCGUAGCAUCUGGAAGUGUUGCACAAGUGCAUCGGGCUUCUUUGAGAUUUCGAUACCCGGGUCAACAAGUCAAGCCCAUUGUAGUUGCAGUAAAAGUUAGGCAUCCGGGUGUUGGUGAAUCAAUUAGGAGGGAUUUCACAAUUAUUAAUUUGUUUGCCAGAGUUUCAUUGUUCAUCCCGACGUUGAAGUGGUUGAGACUGGAUGAAAGUUUACAACAGUUUGCUGUUUUCAUGAUGUCUCAAGUUGAUCUCGCGAGGGAAGCUGCCCAUUUGAGUCGUUUCAUUUAUAAUUUCCGCAGAUGGAAGGAUGUAUCCUUCCCGAAGCCUCUAUAUCCGCUUGUGCAUCCUGCUGUUUUGGUUGAGACAUAUGAGCAAGGAGAAAGUGUUUCACACUACGUCGAUGAGCUUGAGGGGAAUGCUCGAGUUAAGAGUGCUCUUGCUCAUAUUGGGACUCAUGCACUCCUGAAGAUGCUUCUGUUGGACAAUUUUGUUCAUGCGGACAUGCAUCCCGGGAAUAUCCUUGUCCGUGUACCUCAGGCCAAGUCUUCACGCAAACGACUGUUUAAAUCCAGGCCUCAUGUCAUUUUCCUUGACGUCGGCAUGACGGCUGAGCUUUCUAAGAGUGAUCGUGUGAAUUUGCUGGAGUUCUUUAAAGCCGUUGCUGUUAGGGAUGGCCGCACUGCUGCACAAUGCACUCUAAGAUUAUCGAAGCAACAGAACUGCCCAAAUCCAGAGGCCUUCAUUGAGGAAGUUGGGAGGUCAUUUGAUUUCUGGGGUACCCCAGAUGGUGAUUUUGUCCAUCCUGCUGAGUGCAUGCAGCAAUUGCUAGAGCAAGUUCGGCGGCAUAAAGUCAAUAUUGAUGGCAAUGUUUGCACUGUGAUGGUGACCACUUUGGUUCUCGAGGGUUGGCAGCGAAAACUUGAUCCAGAUUAUGAUGUGAUGCAGACACUACAGGCAUUGCUAUUCAAAGUUGACUGGGCACAGUCCCUUGCCUACACAAUUGAAGGACUCAUGGCCCCAUAGAAGGCCACAAAAGUACAAUUUGCUGAAUCUUCACAACUCCAUGAGUGGAAAACAGUGUAGAAGAGAGAAUGAAUGAGAGAAAAUAAAGUGGUCAGGUCCAUCAACUAGGAUCUGGUUAAAAUCAGGUCGUGUCCAGUCUGGAGUCGGAGACAUGGCUAUCAGCCAUCGCUUGGACUGGUUUUGCAUUUGUUCUCGGAUCCUUUUGUUGAGGUAUGUGAGGUGUCUUUGAGACACAGGUUGGUCAGGAUGUCUGUAUGGUUAUAUAACGAUUUCUAAAGCUUCCCAUGAAAACUGUAAUUGUGGAGAGCCCUCAAUCAGUGAGAAUGGAGCGGGUGAGACA